AACGAACGCUGGCGGCAUGCCUAACACAUGCAAGUCGAGCGAACCCUUCGGGGUUAGCGGCGGACGGGUUAGUAACGCGUGGGAACGUGCCCAAAGGUACGGAAUAGCCUCGGGAAACUGAGAGUAAUACCGUAUGUGCCCCUCGGGGGAAAGAUUUAUCGCCUUUGGAUCGGCCCGCGUUGGAUUAGGUAGUUGGUGGGGUAAUGGCCUACCAAGCCGACGAUCCAUAGCUGGUUUGAGAGGAUGAUCAGCAACACUGGGACUGAGACACGGCCCAGACUCCUACGGGAGGCAGCAGUGGGGAAUCUUAGACAAUGGGGGAAACCCUGAUCUAGCCAUGCCGCGUGGACGAUGAAGGCCUUAGGGUUGUAAAGUCCUUUCAGCUGGGAAGAUAAUGACGGUACCAGCAGAAGAAGCCCCGGCUAACUCCGUGCCAGCCGCCGCGGUAAGAC
rnacentral:rRNA from 1 species